rnacentral:tRNA from 1 species
GCGCCCGUAGCUCAGUUAGGACAGAGCGGGGGAUUCCUAAUCCCCGUCAGCCGGAGGUUCGAGUCCUCCCGGGCGCACCA